AUGGCUUCUUGGCUUUCCAAACCAGGACACUUAGAAAACCUUACAAUGUCUCAGAACGUCAUUCAGGAAAUAGGCCCCCAUAUGUUGUCCAGUUUCUCUAACCUGACAACCCUUAAUUUAGCUAGCAACAGAAUUCAUAUGAUUGCGGGUGGAAGUUUGAAGAAUUUGUCUAAGCUAACUUUUAUUGAUCUAUCUGGUAAUAACUUAUCUACCUUAACAAGAAAUGUGUUCAGUGGGCUGAUGUCUCCAAUAAUGAAACUGGGAGACAAUCCAUGGAACUGUUCCUGUGAACUUGAAGAUUUUGGAUUUUUUUUGCAAGAGCUGAUGAAUACUUCUGUGUUGGAAGAUGCUUCAUCUGUGGUGUGUCAGAGCCCACAAGCCCUGAAGGGUAUUCCAGUUUGGAACAUCUCUGACUUUAACUGCCCGCCUAUUCUCAUAUCACCAUCACUUGAGAAUGACUUCUAUAAAGUUGGAUUGCCAGCGAUGCUUCUAUGUUUAGUGUUAUUUUCAUUUCUUUUGCUGCUUCUCCUGCUCUGGAAGGUGAAACAAGGUAAAAAGCAAGUGCAGCCAGGUAAAGAAGCUACUGUUGAAAAUAGCCAUGACAAACUAACAGGCCACCUUAACAAGAUGACAGAGAGACUGAGGCGCAGAGGACUGUCGGAUGAAAAGGGACAGACAACAGUGAAAAUUGACAAAACCCUACAAAAUAGAAUGCAGAAAACUCGUGCAAAAUCUGCCUCGCCAAUUCUGUUGAGAACUGAGUUUCAACACAGUAGUUCUCAACACCAUAGACCAACUGAUGGGAACCAGGAACAACCCAAAACCUCUUGUACAGUAAUAAAUGAACAAGCCUGCAUGAAAAAUGAAGACUGCAACAAUGUUAUGGAACUGUGGUAUUUUAAUAGCUUGAAAGAUUGCAAUAAAAAGGCUAUGCGUACUCACAAUGCAAACACUUCACCAACUGAACUAUGCAUAGAAAUCCCGAAAAAGGAUAGUUCAGAAAUAUUAAAGCAGUCAUUGCAGGACCAUGGAAUUUCAGAAGUGUGUUGGAAUGAUGAAAUUAAAGGAAGGGGUAAUACGGAGAACGCUGAACCUCUGUUGUAUUUAAGUGUUGCUAGUACAACUGAAGAGUCACCUAGUGUACCUGGCACUGAACAAAAAGAUGCUGUGAGUAGAAAUGUAAAUACGAGGCUGUGUUCUUUGAGAAGAGUUCUUACUUGGCCAUAUGAAAAAUGCAAAAGGGACGAAAGCCAAAACACUUUAAAUUCAGAGGAUUUUUUCAAGGCACGUUUCUGUAUGCUCACCAGUGAUCCUGGUGUCUCAGCAGCAGUCAGAAAAACAGAAUUCAAAGAUGAACAAAAUCAGUAUAAUCUUCAUCUACAUACUGUAAAGGAACAAAAGGCAAUUCAUGAUUACAGCAGCAGUAAACCUAACUUAAAGAGAGAAGCAAAACCAGCAAACAAAUUAGUAUCUCCACUUAAGAAAGGACCUAAUCAAAUAGCCAAAAUGGAAAAUGCAUGCAUGUCAGUGCCUGGGAAAGGAUUCAGAGGCUCUGAGACUGUAAAAAAGAAUAAGAAUAACAAAGAUAUACCUUCGCAGUCUGGAUUCUGCAAUGACAGUCUUCACUCGCCAGCAUCCUCAGACAAAUCUGGUCACACCUCCUCCCCAUGUGAUAAUACAUUACUCGAAAAUAAUGAAUACACCUUCAUUGAUCUUUUGCAUGAAGUCGUGGAAAAUCGUGGGAGGUGGACCAGGCAGAGGUGGAAGCAGACCCAUCAAGUGCGAAUUGCUAGCCACCCGCCAAUGAAAUCAAAGUAAAUUAAUUGCACUCUGUCAAAAAAUGUUCCAUGUGCUAUAGGCUGCCUGUUUUAACCAAAAUUGUUGUUGUUAUAACAUUUCAUUAGUGGUGACACAUGCCAGACUUGACAGUACUGGAAGCUAAAAUCCUCUAUUCUAGAUACUUCAGGAGCAAUGCAAACUGCACCAUAUUGCACUUCCAGAAUGCCUUAACCAUAUUUUGAAAAAGCAACUUCUAAGGAUGAGAGGGGACUUUUCUCCAUGGCCCAGUCAAUUCGUGGUGCCAAAAAGGGUGACACAUGUCAUGAAGGUUUUUUGUGAUGUGAUCAUUUAUUUACAGGGAGCUUGACUCAGACCCACCAAACUCAUUUCAUCUAGGCAACCAAACAGCUUUCAGAUGAGUCAUGAGUUUUGAUCAGUAAUCAUCUAGGGUAAAUUUUCCAAAAAUACCCAAGAGAUUUGCAUACUGAAGUCCCAUUGAAAGUAGAUAUGACUUGGGUACCUAAGUUACUUAGCACUUUUGAAAAUUUUAUCUCUAGGCUGGUUUUAAACCAGGUAUGUAGAAGACUCCAAAUCCCAUUACUCACCCCCCUGAAAUAACCCAUAUCAUUACUGGUUUUGAUUCAAGCAUUCCACUAAGUAGGCAAAUUUAUUAAUUAUCCCUAGAAUUUUCCAGCUGCCUAGAAACGGAUAGUUCAUGGAGUAUGGAGCCUUUCAGCUCUGGAUAUUGAUUUGCUCUACUCAUUGGCAGAGACCAUUAGUAUCCAGGGUUAUCAAUCUGGCAUAUUCAUGAGCAUCUAAAAUUAAUGUAAAAUUUUCAAUUUACUUGCACAAAAUAUGAAAUGUUAACGUGUAUCAUGUCAUAAUGGGUUAUACCCCCUUAAAUGGAUUGCUAAUUGUGCGUGCACGCUCUCUCUCUCAUAUAUAUAUAUAUAUACUAUUUUUUUCUUAUUAGUAAUAAGUCUUUUUGGUAGGUUUUACACACUGUAUUUUCAAUUAAUAAUUUAUAUUAUGGCUAAUAAACCAUGUAACUAGAAAUGUUUGUCUACA
ensembl:lncRNA